rnacentral:piRNA from 1 species
ACCACAUUCCUCAUCUUCUGUCAGUGGUC